UCUUCCCCGCGCGACGCGAGACUCCAGGCGCUAGCCGCCAGGGUUCCUUCCGCCGCCACGCGCCCGCGCCUCAUCCCUCCGCUCUUGGCAAACACUCGUCACCAUGUUCCAUCCCUUUGCAGUCAUCAUCGUAGUCCCCCGCUGCUGCUCAAUAGCCUUGACGGAGCACCAUCCGCCGGCUCCCUGGAGCACGCCGCCCGUCGGUAGCCGCCAUGGAGCGCCGGUGGAUGCCCUGAUUGUCCGCGACCCUGCCGCGGCAACUCACGCCCUCGCCUCGCGCUGGUACGGAGACGAUGCUUACCGGCUUCGUGCAGGCCCUCCUCAUGGACAGCUCCCUGUUCUGCCUCUGCCACCUCCCGUGGCUGAGCAGAGCGAGGAUAGAACGAGUGAGGAGAUCGAGAGAAGAAAUAUUCAGUUGAUUUUGCAGGGCAUGGAGAUUGAUAUGAUUUGUUUUGUUGUCCGCAUGUUCGACGAUGAUGGCGCCCACACCUUUUCCUGUUGUUUGGGCAAAGGCCGGUCUGUUUGAUGUGCGAGUAAAACUUUAGACAUGUGACGGGCCAAAGGAGAUGUUUUGCAAAAUUUGUUUGGGGCUGAAGGAGAUCCUGAGCAAACCGAUGAAAGAGUGGUGGCUGCUGGAAGUUGGCUAGUGAUUGAUCAGCAGCUUCAUUGAGGAAAGCCAAACAAGUGGCUGGAGAUGUAUUUUGUAGGACUUGAUAUUUACAGUUUCGGGAGCAGCAGUGUUGCUUGCAUCUUUUUUCUGCAUCUAUGAUCUGAUGAUGCUUUAUUUGGUGUUGUUAACCAUGGCACUACAUUAGGGCUUUGUUGAUGAUGAUUUCUGCUGAUUUGCAUAGUCGAGUUCUUUUUUCACUUCCAGAGUAAGUUUAGUGCAAGUAAAACGUCAGUUUCACUCUGGCUAAACCGCUCACUGUUGUUUAUGCUCCUGUGGCAGCAGAGGAAUAGACCCGGCAAGGAAGGGAGCUACACCAGCAUAGUCGGUGGAUUUAACCGGGAAAAUGAAUCCUGAAAUUUCUGGUUGGACCAAGAGGCCGGUGAUUGGGGCAGGGCUGCAACUCCUAACAGGGCACCAUGCCCUACAAGGGUACAAGUGGCUCACGACUUGAUGGCAUGGUUGGGGCUGGAAUGACGAAGAAGAUUAAUGGGGUGGAUGAUGAGCAUGCUACAACCUGAAUGACAAACAAAAACAUUUAGAUUGGGACACAGAAGAGAGAUGAGGAGGAAGAAAGCAUGAACAAUUCAAGUGAAAGAGAGAAAGAACAUGGACACCCCAAGUCUCUCGGAUUGAUAUGAACAGCUCAGGUCCUCCUGCCAUGGUGCCUGACCCUGAGUUUGCCAACCCCACAUCUAAGUUCCCUGCCAGUUGUGGUGACAAUCUAAUGGGAAUAAGUGCCAGGGACGAGGAGAUGUGGAGACUUGAGGUAACUGCUAUAGCGGUGGUAGGAUCUUGUAUGGAGAAUAGCAGGAGUAAUGUUUGAAUCCUACUAUAGGCAGUGCCUUGCUAUGAAUGGCUGCGACAACGGGCGGGUAUUGGAGUUCAUUGUGGUAUGCACGAUGGAUGUGUGGUCCGUGGAGUGAAGAUCCAUCUAGCAUGAAUUUUUUCGUUCUUCUGUUGGCAAGUAAUCCUAAGACUUUUUUUCCGGGUGAAUACUAAAACUAAUUACCCUACACAAUUCACAGUUUUUAUAUUCUUAUGGCACCUAAGUAUAUCUGUAAUUGAAAAAAUGUUCAGAAUUUACUGUAUGAAGGGCGCAUAUAAAUGUUAUUCAGUUUUAUUUGUAGAGAUGCUUGCUGGUAUUUCGUAUUCAUUUCAAGAUUUUAGUAGGGUAUAUGCCUAUAAUUCUUGCUCUCCAUGCUUGCUGAAAUUUUAGUAGCACUCAAUAACACGCCAUGUUUGGCGCACAUGUUCAUGACGUGAAGUAGGUUGUUAUUCUGUAGCAUCCCAAAGUGUAUUGGGCAUCACAACAAUAUGUAUCCCGUUGCAGUGCAUGGGCUUAAAAAUAAUUCUUCAACUUUUUGUUAGUGUCAAAUUGAAUUAUUAGAACAACAAUUGAAUAUAUGUUAUUUAGGCUAACAUACCAAAUUAUUUAGGCUUCCUGUAAUUAUUUGUUUUCAGGAAACAACAUGUGCCAAUGCAACAUAUUCUGUUGUGUCUAUAACUACCUCGCUGUUUUGAACAAUAGACAUCAAAGCUCUCGGAUAUAUGUUUCUUUCUACAACCUGCUUGAACCUAUGAAAGACACUUUGUAGCCUAAUCACAAGAGAUUUAAAAAUACUGUUGCUGACCUAUGAAAGACACUUUGUAGCCUAAUCCAUCUCAAAGAUAUGCCAUCUAUCUAUUGGUAAAAUCUAUGCAUUACUUGUACGUAUGCAUUAAUAAUCAUGUUUUUUUUUUGUUUAUUUAUGCACCAGUUUGAUUUUUUGCUAGAGGAGUCUUGGUCGCUCUAGAAGCUUUGGCGGCCAAGACAGAGACAUAGUCGGGAGCGGGGCUAAGGACGGUGGCCCCCUCCCUCCCCGUUGGGCUCAGGGAAAUCCUAUGAGGUGACGACAGGGUGAGUUCUACUUCAAGCACACCCAUGACAGCUAGCUAUGCGGCGAAGGUUGACAAGGAGGUGGAGUUCGGAAGCACACGUUCGACCAUUACAACCCAGUGCAUGUGUCCCCGUACCUGGUGGCACGGCAACCAGGUGAAUACCCCUCAUGAGAUGCGCGCGAUCGGACGAAGAGGAAACGUAUCAACAUGAAUAUGUUGCAAGGGGUAUGCGAGGAUUUGUUUCUCCCGUUGCAACACACGGCCCUUUUGCUAGUCUAAUUAAUGUAUGUACUAGCAGGUCUCGUCUGAUCGAGCACCUCGGUACAUAUGUAACAUCUCAAUUUUCAAUUUGGAUGUUAUACAUAGGUCAU